UUGAAAGGGAAACGAUUGAAGUCAGUCGUACCGACGAGAAAUCAGCUUAUCGUGUGUUAACUUGUGGGCGUGCGUGAGUUUCGGCCUCGCUGUAUGCAAGUUUGUGCGCUUUGGGUGUACUUUUUCGUAUGGUUGGCCAACAUCAGUUUCGAUUACUAUAAAAUGACUGGCGGAAUGUAGCUUCGAUUUCGGUUGAAGUGUUAUAGCCUCUGGUAGAUGUGGUGAUUGAGACUGAGGAUUGCAACGAAUAUCCUUUGGGCUAUCCGUCUGGCCUCUGAAAGUUGCUUGGGUGCUGAAAGCUUGCUUAUGGUUAUCUAAGUUAACGGUCAAUAGGUUAGAACGCGAUUACAUUCGUUAAGGAUGUUGACGUA
rnacentral:rRNA from 1 species